GCUUGGCAUCGUUGGAGGUCUUGCGAUGGCCCACCAAGGGCAAAGCGUGCUUCACCACAUGGUCCUGGAUGGCUGACACCUCAGUGGAACCCUGUUUUGAAGAGGCCACAGGACCUGAGAGCCUAGAGCCUAAUGAGAAAGGUGCAUGGGGCCAGCUCAGCCCAGAACACCUGCACUCCAUCUUGCUGUACUUCAGCUGCUGUGGGCCCUGGGCAGGAGCACGUGCUCUGCUCGCCAGUUUCUGCUAAUUAAAAGCUUCAGAGCUGCCAUCCUCUCCAAACCAGAUCUAUCUGCAGAAACCUGGGGAAUGCCGAGCUGGACCCAGGCUCACCCUGAGCUGGUAAGCCACCCAGAACUAUAUGGUAAAAAACUUUUUAGUUAGAUUAGCAUGCAAAGAGGUAAUACAUGUGCCAAGUUGACCAGCUCCACCCAGGGAAGGGGAAGGGCCCACUGGGCAUGACAGCCUCGGUACCCAAACCACCUCCCAGCAAAUAAGGCUCAAUUCUGCCCCAGCACAUCCAGACCAAACCCACCAUUGCAUGGGCACCAAAGGAGAUAAGAGCCUACCUGCCAGGAGGUAUAGAGAGAACAACUGCUUUGGCAAAAGCAGAAGGAGCCUCACUGGGGCCUUAGGUCUUAUGACCUGCCAGGUAUGUGGUGCCCCAGCCCCAUCCCUCCUGCAAACUUGGUCCCUGAGCCACCUGGCUGAGCUUCCCACCAGUGCCUUCAGGCCAACAGUGGGGUGGGAAGAGCGGGCUGGGAAAGGCACUCCAGAUGCAGCGAACAGGGCAAAACUCCUGCCAUGCUUCCAACCCCAGAUGCUCAUGCCUGCUGGGUGCCCAGGCAGAGCCCCUGCUCACCUGCACAUCCAUCACGUGGCUCCUGGGCUCAUAUUUGGACUGGAAUUUCUCAGGCUGCAUUACGACCAACUUCCCCAGGGAAACUUUCAAGAACUUAGCUAUUUCAGUGCUGAAAGUGUGGUGAAAUUUGUAAUCUUCUCUCAGGUUGUUGGCUGACAAAUUAACAAUACAAUAAAAUGCAAUUUAUUAAA